UCUUGAUUGAAGGAGCAACCUUACAUCCUUCCUUUUCGGUUUCAUCGCAUAUGCUUUGUUCCAUCUUGAUUUGCGGUGAAGUGCUUGAGUCUCAAGUGGAACAAAACGUGAAAAGUAUGCUUUAGAGUUGUGGAUGGUAGAGAUACGAUGAUAUGAUCAAAAGAGACAACUUCCAAACCUUGUGAUAAAAUUUCAUCACAUCUUAGUCUUUAAAAUCAAAAGCACCAAGUUCCCAUGCUAUUGAAUUCUAGUUCUAAAAAUUCACAGAAGAUGCAAUGUAACCAAUACAUAAAUGGUAAAAAGAAAUAUGGUAUUGAUAAUGCCAAAGAUCAAAAAAGAAAAUCACCUUCUCCUCCUGUCUUAUGUUCAAUACCAUCAGAUGGAAAAAGGACUAAAUAUGGUUCCCCUGAUCAAAAUGAUAGGGUUGAUUUUUGUUCUAUUUCUAGACAAGACUAUUCUCACCUAAGUGACGUUGAAGAUUAUGCAAAGCGACCAAAUUAUCUUAUGAAUGAAGAGAACUUUUACAUUCAUGCUGGGGAUUUAAUGGAUAAUAGUUAUUCUUAUGAUAUCGCGACAUCAAUCAAAGAGAAACUAAAAGAAGAAGACAUGGAAUUCGCUGACUCCCGGAAGAAAUUUUUACCUUCUAGGGGUAGCCAUCUUCCAAGACCAUUUAUUCCCAUAGGACCUAGGUUUCAAGCUGAAGUUCCUAAAUGGGAGGCCUCAACUAACAUAAAACAAUAUGAUAGUGAUGAUUGUUUGAGGUGGUUAGGCACCCAAAUUUGGCCAAUGCCUUCUUUAUCUAGAAAUGAUGCAAAAAGUAUUGAAAAAGGUAGGUCCGACUCAAGCUCGGGCGAGAACCUUGAAUCAAUUGAUCGUGUUAAAAAACAUGGUGAAGCUAGAGAAUGCUUAAAAUCGAAGGUUAAUGACACUUUCUCGAGUUGGAAGUUUGAUAUCAAGAAAGAAGAUGUGUCAAAAUCAUGGACAAUGGAAGAGGAGAAGAAAUUUGAAUAUCUAGUAAAGUUAAAUCAAUUAUCAAGCGAUACAAAAUUUUGGAAGCUCACCAUGGAGUACUUUCCAUCCAAAUCUAUUGAGUGCAUGAAGAAUUACUAUUACAAUGUAUACAUCCCUAGAUGCAUGAGUAUAGAAAAUAAGAUCUCCCUUUAGCACAUUUGAUGGUGAAUCAAAAUGAUAACUAAGAGAUUGAAGGUGCAUGUUCAUCUAAAGAUUUCCCCAACAAAUAUAUAUGAAGGUAGUCUUCGGUUACCAUAAGGUCUACGAAGUAGAGUAGAAUGGCUAUCAAAUUGUCGGAGAUGGGGCGUUUGAAGCCCAAUGCAUUGUUCAUGAUUCAUCAAUGUGUUGAUUAAGCGAACUUUGAGAAGAAUUAUGGUGCAACAACUUCCAAGGAGGUCUUUGAUAUCUUGGAGAAAAGCUGUGAAGGAGCCGAGAAAUUCAAGAAGGUGAAGCUCCAGACGAUACGAAGGCAAUAUGAAAUUUUGCAGAUGGAGGAAAGUGAUAUUGUAUCAUCCCGAUUUUUAUUAGUUAUUUUAUUAAUUAUAUUAAUUGGUGUUUUUAUUAAUUAUUUUAUUUAUUUAAUUAUUAUGUGAUAUGAUAAUUAUUUAAUUAUGUGUGUAAUUGUGCCAUUAGGUUAAUUAAGUUAUUAGGGAGAUAUAACUAAUUGGGCCUAAGUGGUAGAAAUAUAAUAUUAGGUGGAUUGGUGGAUUAAGCCCAAUUAACUUAAGAGAAGAUAGUAGGAAAAUAGGGUUUUAAAGGUUACACUAUCUUUUUGGGAAAGGAGAAGAGUAGAGAAAAAAGAGGAGAUUUUGGGGAUUCUUGAAGAAGAAGGAGUUUGAUUCAAGGUAAGGGGGAGAAUUCCAUUAUCUUGAUUAUAUAUGUAUGCAAUGUGUAGUAGUGUGAUAAGUAUUUAUUCCUAAACUUCAUAGAGUUCAUAAUGUUAGGGUUUGUGUUGAAUCAAUGAGAUUUUAUG